UACGGAGGGUGCGAGCGUUGUCCGGAAUCAUUGGGCGUAAAGGGCGCGUAGGCGGCGGGGCAAGUCGGGUGUGAAAUCUCAGAGCUCAACUCUGAAACUGCACUCGAUACUGCUUUGCUUGAGGACUGGAGAGGAGAUUGGAAUUCACGGUGUAGCAGUGAAAUGCGUAGAUAUCGUGAGGAAGACCAGUGGCGAAGGCGGAUCUCUGGACAGUUCCUGACGCUGAGGCGCGAAGGCCAGGGGAGCAAACGGG
rnacentral:rRNA from 1 species